rnacentral:lncRNA from 1 species
UUAAUUUAUCUCAAAUAAAUUAAAAUAAUGUUUUUAUGUCAUUAUUUGCACAGUGAAUUCUACAAUAGGACCAUCACCCACCCCAGCUAAUGAUUCUAAACCAGCAGAGAAUUCCACAGUUGGACCCUCGUCCACUCCAGCUAAUGAAUCUAAACCAGCAGAGAAUUCCACAGUUGGACCCUCACCCACCCCAGCUAAUGUAUCUCAACCAACAGGUACCAUUUUUCAAUUUAGGCAUUAUUUGACACUAUUGACUCUUUGUUUAUAAAUAUAUAUAUUUUGUUUUAUACAGUAACAGAAAUGUACAUCAUAUUACUUAAACAAUUUAUCAAUUUAUGCCUUUAUUUUAUACAGAGAAUUCUACAGUUAGACCGUCACCCACUACAGUUACUGAACCUAAACCAAC